CGGGGCGUAGCGCAGCUUGGUAGCGCGCUUGCUUCGGGAGCAAGAGGUCCUCAGUUCAAAUCUGGGCGCCCCGA
rnacentral:tRNA from 1 species